UUAGUUUCUCCAUACCUCACAACCUCUGAGGAUGCCUGCCAUAGAUGUGGCUGAAACAUCAGGAGAGAAUACUUCUGGAACAUGGCCAUACAGCCCGGAAAACAUACAACAACCCCAUUCAUACCAAGAUUUUUAAAAUAUAUUUACUGCAUUUGGGUUCCCUUGGUAACUGCCUGCCCUUUUUCUUUGAAUACUUAGAUGUUUGACUGCAGAUUUAAAUGCAGUAAAAUGUUUCCCUGCAGGCUGACUAAUAAGGAAAAGGGGCUCCAGGAUAGCAAUUUUCAAAGCAAGAAUUCAUGUCAAAGAGCUAGCCUGCAAGUUGAACAGCUGCAAAUGGCUCCCAGAAUUCUGAUGAAGGGAUGAAAAGCCACUGGAUCAGAUGAAGGCUGGAUCCACAUCACUGAAUCAGGCUUUGAACCAAAUUGGAGGAGUCUUCCACAGUUCCAGUUACAGGGAGAAGACUACUGCGAUUAUUCAUCCUUGUAUGUGAGAAUGAAACAGUCAAGGAAUUACAGGACUGCUAUCUAACGGACAUGACAUUUUAAGGUGCCAACUACAGAUGGAGGUACUUUCACCAGAAGGGCAGAUGGAUCAAAGAAAUCUGCUUCAAUUGCUUUUCUAUAAGAUGCCAGAAGUUACUUCAAAAUUAGAGGACAAUCAAGAAGGCUUCUAUUCCUCCAGCUUCACGAUUCCGCCACCCUCGGCCUCUGUAAUUGCAGUGAAAAGGCUGUCAUUUUCAGAGAUGGUUGCUUGGAGGCUGGCAGUGGAGCGGAAAAGAGGGAGAAGUGAUUCCGAGCAGAGUUGACCUGCUGUUAAACAUUGGCUGGCCACUGAUAUGAUGAACUGAGAUUCUGCUUUUCCGUUCUUCACAAAGCCUGUGGGAGAAGGCUUCCGACCCCCUUUUGACACAAGCUGAUGUUGUGCAACUGAAGAUCCAGCGCAACAACCCCAUUGGACUUCCAAGUGUGAGUGUGUAUCUCUCCUUGGACGUUAUCAGGCAGUGUGUUGUUAUUUUUUCUUUUCUUGCUUCAGCCUCGCUGCUCCGAAACCAGCUGCUCCUUAUCUGAUCUGCAACUGUUUCCCCAAGAAAAUUAAACUGACUUAGCCUGUUAACCUGGCGUUCUUGGCAGGGCCAGGCAAUUGUCUGCAAGAACUUCCCUCAGUAGAAAGCCGGACAAGAGAGAUCCAAAUCUGGAAGGCACAGCUAACUGUUUUGGACGUGAUUCUGCUGCCUCCUGGUGGAAUAUUUCAAGGAUGUAUACUGAGAAAGAAGGAAAGAAUGUCAAGGAAGGAAGUGCAAGAAGCUGGAUUGCAGGUUAACAUCAAGAAAACAAAAAUAAUAACCUUUGGUGGGAUUAUAUAACUUCAAAGUAAAUGCUGACGACACUGAUAUAGGGACCUUCCAGUUAGGCCCUGUAUCCCAAGAUCGGAUCCCUAGGAGCGCCCGGUGGUGUAGUAGAUUAAACCCUCGUGCCAACAGGACUGCUGACCUGAAGGUUGCUGGUUUGAAUCCAACCCAGGAAGACUGCGGAUGAGCUCCCUCUAUCAGCUCCAGCUCCAUGCGGGGACAUUAGAGAAGCCUCCCACAAGGAUGGUAAAAACAUCAAAAACAUCCCGGGCAUCUCCUGGGCAAUAUAUCUGCAGACAGCCAAUUCUCUCACACCAGAAGCGACUUGCAGUUUCUCAAGUCACUCCUGACAUGAAAAAAAGAAUCCACAUUUUCUGCUUUAAACUAGAUUAUAUGAGUCUGCACUGCCAGAUAAUCUGGGAUAAACAGAAAACCUGGGAUCAGAUCCUGGGAUAUAGGCCAAUGCCCAUAAACACAUCAAACAGAGACACAGACAGACGCAGAGGCAAUUUAACCUUCUCCUGAGGGGAUGUUCGAUUCUGGCCACAGGGGGAGCAGCUGCUUCAUCAUCCACUCUGAUGGCACUUCCUCAUUCCAAGUCGUAAAUUAGUUAAACUUGCCUCCCCACUUAUAAGUGGUACCUUAUUUCCUAGUUUUCAUGUGCAUGUGUACAACGCCAUCCAUUUGUCUAUGUAUGGCAAGGAAUAUUCAGAAGUGGUUUUCAUAGUUCCUUCCUCUGAAAUAUAGCCUGUUGAAUUAUGUGGUCACAUACACUAAUAUUGUAUAGUAGAAGCUGUUGGUUGGGUUCUGUCAAACUCUUCGCUGCAGCAGUCAAGAGUUGAAUGCAGUCCGCAUGGUUACUAUUCAUAACAGCUUGCUAUCUAUGUCCUCUAAAUCAUUCUGUCUCCACAGGAUUACUAUUGCAGAGUUCCUCCCCGUGAACUCAAUACGGCUAGUGAGAUGGGCCAUCUGGUCUCAACCUGUAGGCACUGGCGAUGGUUAGAAUGAAGGAAGAACCAUAAAAUCUCCCACAGGCAUCACGUCAGUUGCACCUAAAGUUUGAAAACUUUGAAGUCUCAGCCCAUGUCUCUGCUGUGACGAUGACCUUGGCAUGCAGGGAUACUAUUACAUCCUGUGGAAAUCUGUUUAAAAUCAAUUAAUUUGGUUGCCUUGAUGUUCCACUAGAUGGCAGCUAAGCACUUCCAAACAAUAUCCAGUUUCCCUAGAAGUGUAAACUUUUGAUGGCAAAUCUUCAUUUUUCCCCAGAUAGCCUUUCUCCAUCUUUAGCUGCUAUGACAAUGGUAACACCACAGGUCUUGGAAAUUGUGGCCAGCUUUCCCUUAAGCAAGAAAAGCUUCCUAAAAGAUGAUAUAACAACCACUGUUCACAUGAAUUCCAUGAAAUGUAAAGUGUGCACGCGGAUGCAUCUAUGCCUUCAGCCUCCCAUUGAUCAACUGUGAUCUCAUGAAUUUCAGAGGGUUUUCUAAAACAAGAACACUCUGUGAUGGUUUUGCCAGUUCCUUUAUUUGAAAGAUAGCCUACAGCACUCGGUAUUCAUUGACAGUCUUUCAUCCAAGUACUAACCAGGGCUGACUCUGCUUUGUUUCCAGGAUUGGACAAGAUGUAGUGCUUUUGGUCUAUUUAGACCUGACAAAAUUGGUGGAAAUGGUCAGAAAACUGAGCUGACAUUUACUUAAACGUAGAAGAAUUUCACUGUUGUAUACAGAUCAGAAGAGCCCCAGUGGCGAAGUGUGUUAAAGCACUGAGCUGCUGAACUUGCAGACCAAAAGGUCCCAGGUUCAAAUCCCAGGAGUGGAGUGAGCGCCCGCUAUUAGCUCUAGCUUCUGCCAACCUAGCAGUUUGAAAACAUGUGAGUAGAUCAAUAGGUACCGCUCUGGCAGGAAGGUUUUUUUUUUUCGUGUCAGGAGCAACCGGAGUUGCUUCUGGAGUGAGAGCAUUGGCUGUCUGCAAGGACGUUGCCCAGGGGACGCCCGGAUGUUUUGAUGUUUUAUCAUCCUUGUGGGAGGCUUCUCUCAUGUCCCCGCAUGGAGCUGGAGCUGAUAGAGGGAGCUCAUCCGCACUCUCCCCGGUUGGUAUUCGAACCUGGCAGCUUUCAGGUCAGCAACCCAACCUUCAAGUUACGAGGCUUUUAUCCCCUUGGCCACCGGGGGCUCCGGCGAUGGAGCGGCGGGAAGGUAACAGCGCUCCAUGCAGUCAUGCCAGCCACAUGACCUUGGAGGAGUCUACGGACAACGCCGGCUCUUCGGCUUAGAAAUGGAGAUGAGCACCAACCCCCAGAGUCGGACAUGACUGGACUUAAUGUCAGGGGAAACCUUUACCUUUUAUACAGAUCAGAACUAGCUCAAUGGAAAUUUAAAUUAAAGGUGGAAAAAGCCUGCACUAGGAAGAGAAUUUUCUUUCUUUUUUGUUCAGUUUCUUUUCUAUUAAAUUAUUUCCAUCACGAACUUAACAAUUUGUGAGUGUUAGUACAUUUUUCAAAGACUGAAAAGAAAUUUUCCCUCCUUUGCACUGGCCAAAUAGUAACUCCCAGCAUUGGAGAGAAUCAUGUUGUACAUUUCAGCCAUGUUGUUAACACUAUUUGUGUUUUGUUCUGAAUUAUAUCUAUAGAAUUAAACCUUCAGCACCACAUUUCAAAUGAGUGGAUUUGCCUAUUUCUUAACCAUACACAGAAAUUGGAAUAAAUUGGCAUGGGCAACCCUAAUUUUAGUACUCCGUAAUAUAUCUUUACACUACAAGACCUUAUCUAUUUCCCUCAAGUCUUAAUCUUCUUCUGAUUAAAAAAUCUGUCUAUGUAAUGCUACAGGGCAGAGCUUCUAAAAAGUAGGCUUUUUUAUUAUAGCUUCCUAAAUACCAACUUAGUAUGGCAUUGCCAGUUGUGAUGUUGGCUAGAGGAUGCUGGAAACCAUAGCCAAAAAUGUAUAUUUCCCAAUAUCUGUUGCCAUGGCUCAUAAAUCUUCUGCGAGAGUGUUUAUCCAUAUGUCUGUUCCUGACAUGGAAUUUAUUGCUACACCUGCUUUCUGCCCCUUCUAACUUCUCUUGGCUUCCCGUGUUGUGCUUUUUCUCUUCUUUUACCCUUCUGGGUCUCAUUUUCACCUUCUCUUUUCUUUCCUGGUACAUGAAUCAUGGGCUGAGCAAAAUGUGGAGAGAGCAGAUGGAAACCUGGGUGACAUUUCAGCACAUUGCCUGGCACUCACAGGCAGGUGGGAAUUAUUUGCAUCCAGAUUAUCAUUUCCAGGGGCCACUUAAAUGGCCAGCAUAUUGUGUGCAAUAUGAGCUGAUGUGGAGAUUCACCCAGUUGUCCAAAUGUGGCUGGUAAAGAAUAAUCUUAAAAUAAGACAAAAUAUUGUAUUCUGGCUCAGCACUCAUUCGGUAUGAUGACUGAUGGUGUUUAUAUCCUCUUAAGAAUGUAUAAAGCAGUGGGCUUUAACAAUAAAGGAUUUUUUGGGGGGAUAAAUUAAUACAAAAUGACAGGAAAGAAAUCACUAAGAUAUACAAAAUCUUGUUGGAGUGGUCUACUGAACCGGAAGUAGUUAAGAACUGCAUGUUAAAAUGGGCUAAGAACAUUGGAGAUAAGAACAUUGAAUGGGAAAAGAUUUGGAAAAUGAAAAUAAAAUAUACAUACACCUCUGAUCUCCAGGAAAAUUGGUUUAAGAUAUUCCACAGGUGGUAUAUCAUACCAAAAAAAUUAGGAUUAAUGUACAAAAAUAUUCAAAAUAAAUGCUGGAAAUGUAAAUCACAAGAGGGAACUUACUUCCAUACAUGGUGGACCUGUUCAGAAACAGUUAAAUAUUGGAAAGAUGUGCAUGAAAAAUCACAAAAAAUUCUAGAAAAAAUUAUUUCCGAUGAAGACAGAAUUUUAUCUUCUUGGAUUAACAGAUAGCAUAUCAACUUUUGCCAAAAAUGACGACAUUUUAUUUACUUACAUAUAAUCGGCGGCAAGAAUAACCUUUGCUCGACAUUGGAAAUCGGAAGAAAUACCAGCGAAAGGCCUCUGGUUAGAGAAUCUUGAUGAAAUUUUUGAUAUGGAUAGAUUAACAUAUUUAUUGAAAGAAAACAGAGGCAAACCAAUAAAAUACAGACUGGAAUUAAUACGAUAAAUAUAGAAAACAAGCAAAGGACGAGAAGGAAUGAAAAGGAGGAUCCCGGGAAUCCAAAUAAAAUGGAGACCAACAAACAAGAAAAGCCAAUAUAAAUAUUUGAGUAUAUCCACGAAGAGUAGAAAACAGAAGACAAAAACUUUUACCCCUUUCCCCUCCUUCUUCUUUCUUUAUUUCUCUUUUCUUUCUCCUCUUCACUCUCUUUCUUUUCCCCAUAAAUCUCUCUAUAUCUUUACUUACUAUUAUCCUUUGUUCUUUUCUUUCUCCAUUUCUUUUCUCCCCUUGCUUUCCCUUUUUCCUUAUAUAUAUCUUUUAUGUAAAGUGUUUAAAAUCUGAAUAAAAAUUAUCAAAAAAAAGAAAAGAAUGUAUAAGCUGUACCCUCUGCCUCCUAUUUAAACUCAAUUGAUCUCAAGGAGUAUGUUUGUAUAUUUACAUUUGAAAUCUAUUGUAUAAUGAGAAAUAUUAACAUCUAAAUUAAUAACAGAGUAGUGCUUUUAUGAGCUGAAACUAGCAGAAUGUAAAAUGUUUGGGCAAAUAUAAUGGUUUCAAUCUGGUU